rnacentral:rRNA from 1 species
UACGGGGGGGGCAAGCGUUGUUCGGAAUUACUGGGCGUAAAGGGUUAGUAGGCGGCCAACUAAGUCGGAUGUGAAAUCCCCAGGCUCAACUUGGGAACUGCAUCCGAUACUGGAUGGCUUGAAUUCGGGAGAGGGAUGCAGAAUUCCAGGUGUAGCGGUGAAAUGCGUAGAUAUCUGGAGGAAUACCGGUGGCGAAGGCGGCAUCCUGGACCGACAUUGACGCUGAACGGCGAAAGCUAGGGGAGCAAACGGG